CAAAGCCAGUGGUACCAGGCACUGCUAGCAGCGAGUUUGCAGAGUGCAGGAAAUGGAGAUCCUAUGAGGCAACAAUUUAUGCAGUUUCAGCAUCCUUUGCAGUAUCAACAGCAGCCAACCACCAACUACCCAAUAUUGCAGCAAGCACCUCAGCAGUCUGUUCCUCAUAAUAUUCUUAGCUCACAUAAUCAAGUUUCCACGGAUAGCUUGCCUCAGCAAAUCCUUCAACAGCAGCAGGAGCCGAGUUAUAAUGACUCGAUUCCGAGACAAAAUGAUCAGCUUCACGGAGGGCCGUCAAGUGUGCAUUCUCCAAAUUUCUCAAAACCCAACUUUAUCGAUUCGAGCACCAAAUUCAUAGGUGGGUCUACAGUCACUGUUCAGAACAUGUUGGGGUCUCUGUGUACCGAAGGCAGUGGCAACCUUUUGGACCUGACAAGAGCUGUUUCGUCUUCUGAACAUCUAAACCAAGAAACCUGGGUUCCGAAAUAUUCGCAUGCCCAAGUCAAUGCCUUUACCACUCCGACGACACACCAACACCAAUUUCACGACAAAGAUCAUGCACCAGUACCAAAACCAGGAAACUGUAGCACGGAAGCUCUGAAUCCAAAUACCUUUGGCAUGAACAUUGAUUCAACUGGACUCCUCUUACCCACCACUGUACCGAGAGUUGCUACUACUUCUUCAAGCGAUCCUGACGUGUUGUCAAUGCCUUUAAGCGUGGCUGGGUUUCAGAAUUCUCUCUACAGUUCUUCUGAGUUCUUACCCGGUACAGGAGGGCAAGUAGAGGCGCUAAACGCAGGUCCAAUAUUUGUGAAGGUUUGAAAUCUCGGGGUGGAUUUCUUCUCUUAUCAACAGUUGAGUUUUCCUAGUAAGUAUCUUUCUUGCUUCUUAUUGAUGUUGUUCUGCUACAGGUUUACAAAUCUGGAUCGGUUGGGCGGUCCCUUGACAUCUCCCGGUUCAGCAGCUAUCAUCAGCUGCGGGAGGAACUGGCACAGAUGUUCGGGAUCGAGGGGAAGUUGAAAAACCCUCAUAGAUCGGGCUGGCAGCUUGUAUUUGUCGACAAGGAGGAUCUAACUGAUUAUUAUAAAUGGUAGUUGCCAUUUGUUGAUAAAAUUGUUCUGCUGUGUCAUGAAUUUAUUCAUUAGGGCUUUUCAUCAAGUGUAUCAAGGACGUAAAUUUGUAUACGAGAUUGAACUCAGUAUAUUAUUAUAUUUCUCACCCUCUGAAAAGAGGUAUAUAUACAAAUAGACUAGCUAGGUUAGAGUAGGAUAACACGCUAACAGCUAGGAAUUGUAUAGGAAAGGAACAAACUACAUGCUGAAAAUCACAGUAAAUCACUACAACCAACAAUUUGUCUUGUAGAUACACCGAGAUACUUCCUUCCAAGUGUAAAUUCCAUAACAAUUAGUCAGGUAUUGGAGUAAGUAUAAGGAUAGCAAAUGAGAGAAUUUAUUUUUCUCAUUCGGCAACUUUGCUGGUGGUCAAAUUGAACCUAGAACUGUAAAAAUCUUGCCUUGAAAGCACUUAAUUAUGUUUUUUCCUUGCUGUACUGCAUGGAAAUACUCGGCUUCUCUUAUUCAAGGAUUUUUCCGCAGAUCCCAGAGACGAAAAUGGUAACAGCCUAACGUGGAUGAGGGGUGGUCCCGGAGAUGGUCUUCCUUCUAUGAAUUUUCAAGCCGUCAAUAUGUUGCCAUGGAUGCAGCAGCAGAGAGUGGAUCCAUCUUUGCUUAGGAACGAUCAAAGCCAGUGGUACCAGGCACUGCUAGCAGCGAGUUUGCAGAGUGCAGGAAAUGGAGAUCCUAUGAGGCAACAAUUUAUGCAGUUUCAGCAUCCUUUGCAGUAUCAACAGCAGCCAACCACCAACUACCCAAUAUUGCAGCAAGCACCUCAGCAGUCUGUUCCUCAUAAUAUUCUUAGCUCACAUAAUCAAGUUUCCACGGAUAGCUUGCCUCAGCAAAUCCUUCAACAGCAGCAGGAGCCGAGUUAUAAUGACUCGAUUCCGAGACAAAAUGAUCAGCUUCACGGAGGGCCGUCA
rnacentral:lncRNA from 1 species